GCUCCUGUAGCUCAGCUGGAUAGAGCACUUCCCUCCUAAGGAAGGGGUCGUGCGUUCGAAUCGCGCCAGGGGCA
rnacentral:tRNA from 5 species